CCUACGGGAGGCAGCAGUGAGGAAUAUUGGGCAAUGGGCGCAAGCCUGACCCAGCAACGCCGCGUGAAGGAAGAAGGCUUUCGGUUUGUAAACUUCUUUUCUCAGGGACGAAGCAAGUGACGGUACCUGAGGAAUAAGCGACGGCUAACUACAUGCCAGGAGCCGCGGUAAUACGUAGGUGGCAAGCGUUAGACGGAUUUACUGGGUGUAAAGGGCGAGUGGGCGGGACUGCAAGUCAGGUGUGAAAACCACGGGCUCAACCUGUGGCCUGCAUUUGAAACUGUAGUUCUUGAGUACUGGAGAGGCAGACGGAAUUCCUAGUGUAGCGGUGAAAUGCGUAGAUAUUAGGAGGAACACCAGUGGCGAAGGCGGUCUGCUGGACAGACACUGACGCUGAGGCGCGAAAGCGUGGGGAGCAAACAGGAUUAGAUACCCUUGUAGUC
rnacentral:rRNA from 1 species